CGCUAGAGACUCUGCCUCCUAAGAGACACGUUAAGCUGACUCUGUGUCUCUGUCAUUCAUCUUCACUCCCCAGGUCAGAGAGAACAAAGCAGCAGCUCUAGGUCCCGGAAUAAGGCUGGCCGAGUGGGUCAGCUACAGGUGGUGCCCCAGCAUGGGGCUCGGGACCUGGGCUUGCCUACAUAUAGGUGUUUUCUCCCUCCCCACAGAUCCAAGGGGAAGAAUGGGGCAGGUCUGGGUCCUGUUUAGGAAGGGUGGUCUGUAGCCAGAAGAAGACAGGAGAGGUGCUGGAGAAGCAACACAUGUGGCCCCCUUGGUCCUAGAGAGAGGAGGGGGUGCUGUUUCUCCUCACAGUCACAUCUCAGGACAGUGAACCAGGUGGUGCAGUCCUUGCCCCUGCAGAGCUCACCUUCCAGAGAAGAUCCUAGACAGAUAAAUAGGCACACGCAGCAGCGUCACUUAGCAUCUGGGUGGGUAGGGGAACAGCCCACCCACCCUGGGGCUGUAAAGGCAAGGGAGGUGCUAAUUAGGUGGGGUGGCAGAGAAAGCUGCUAGGAGGGUGCAAAAUGUGCAGAAAGUACAGUGCACUCAGGGUUAACCACAGCAUUUCUGGAAGAAAAGAAUACAAGCAGAGGAAAGAGCAAGUUCAAAGGCCCUGUGGUGAGAAUGCUCAGUGUGGCCAGAGUGGAACGACACAGAGGGAGGAGAGGAGAUCUGAUAGCUAUGCAAGGCCCAGAUCCUGGGCUCAGGUUGUAUCUAGGCCUUGGCAAGGAGUCUAGAUUUGCUUUAGAGGGAGAAGAAACUGAUGGGGUUUUUCUGAACAGGAGAAUGCCAUGAUCCUAUUUGCAUUUACAAAGAACACUCCCAUGACUCCAUAGUGAUUUUUUAAAUAGAUACAUCCCAUCUGUACUCCAGCCUCAUCAGUAUGUUUCUUAAAUCAGUUAACUUUACUCAAGUAACAUUCUUAAGGAAAUUUGAUGUUCCACCUCUGCAAAUGAAAAAUCAGUAUUGUCUGCCAUAAAUAGAAGAAAACCCGUAAAAACAAAUACAACCAAAACAAAGAAGUGUUAUUACUUUUUCACCAAAGACUCCUAACGAUGAUGAACCUGAGCCUGGAGCCCCCUCUGUCUGAAGGAAAGUUAGUAAGCACUGGAGAACCUAAAGUCAACUAGCACCCACCUGAGACUCUCUCCACGGGGCGCUGGAGUAUCUGAAAGAAACUUGGUGCGGAAAUACGUCUCCCACAGUAGGAUACCCCAGUCCUUCAUGCUGGUUCCAGUAGCCACAAAUCAUCUCAUAGCCUUCAUGGGCACCCUGACUAGUCUUUGGGGAAAACAUCAUAAGGGAAUAUAUUUUCAAUUUGAUAUUUCAGGUAUACUUGAAAUCAAAUCAAAAGACUUCCAGGGGCUGGGGACUUAGCUCAGUGGUUCUGGAGCCUGCCUUGCAAGUGCAAGGUCCCUAGUUCGAUCUUCGGUACAAAAAAAGAAAAAGGCUUCCAUCCUUCCCCUCUGAGACCAGGUGAUAAAUGUUUCAGAAGUGUCUGCUGUUACUCAUUAGCUCCAGAAGCUACAAAGACAGCGUGUGUAGGGUGGUGUUGUGCUUUGGUUUGGGCUGGCUUUGGGUUUUCCUUUUUGCAUACUUAUUCUCCAUGCACUGACUUCAGCUCAGCUGGCUAGGUGACCAGGUGCCAUUGCACUGCACCUGCCCCACCUGUUAUUGACAGCAGGGCCAACGUAAGGGCAUGAGGCCAAUCACACUGGCCCUGUACCCAAAGUAAAGUAGGAAACAGGCAGCGUGGGACUGAAGGACAAAUUUCCACUCAGGGGCUGCCACCUCACCUGGUAACAGAAUGUUACCCGCUUCCCUUUAGGAAUUUGCACGAUGUACAUCAUAGAGUCACAGGCAUUUGACUCCCAAAGAGUCCUUUGGACACAAGUUUCAUUUCAACAGUGGGGAAACUGAGCCCCAGAGAGAAAGCAACCUGCCUGUGUGCUCAGGACAAGGAAGUUUUCCUUGAAUAUUCCCUUUGAUCAGUGUGACUACAAUUUGCUUUUUAUGUCUGUUGAGAUUCAGAAGGGUUUUCACUCACAUGCACAUCUAUUUAUCAAUUGUUUAUCAAUUGCUUUCUAAGAAGCCACAUAUUCACAUGAGCAUCCAUAUAUAGGGGUAGGGAAAAGUUCUUCAUAACCCCCUCUCCCAGGAUCAGCCUGGACAAAGCAAAGGCAGCCGCACCAGGGUGAAGCUUCCAGUUUCCAAAGCACAAGGCCUUCUCGGCUUAUUGGCAGUCGGAUCAGGUGCCUGCAGAGAGGCCUGACUCUGUAUUUUCACUUAAUUGAAAAACCCACAUCAUCCAAGAGAGCAUCCAUGUUCGGUGACCCUUCCCUCCCUCGACGGUGACCAUUAACCUUUAAAAAGAUGCUUCGUGAGCCAGUUAGGGAGCCGCCGCCUCCAUGCCAAGGUGCAGUGAGGCUCAGAGAAGGGACCCCAUUAGGAGGGCCGGACAUGAGAAAUGCCGCAAAUGAAGGCUGGGCAGAGCAGGUACCUGGGCCACCAGAGGUCCCAGCAUGGCUGUGUCCGUGGCCUCUCAGGGCACCCAAGCCUCAGCCACAGACCUCUGGGGUGACCCAGUCUUGUUAAAGAAGUGAGUUCAACAGAGCCAACUGUGAAUGAAAUGGGUAAAUCAGAUCCUGUUGAUCCUCUGGCCAGAACCCUGUGCUGCUCUUACAGACUCAGAGUAGAAGCCAUGGCCUCUGCUUGAUCCAGCCCUUCCUCACUGGCCUGCUUCCUCUAUCUCUGUACCCCUUCUCUCCCCUCUCCAGCCACACUGACAUCCUCACUAUGCUUCAUACACCCCAGGGCCUUUGCACAGCCAUUCGUCUGCUGGGAAAGCUUCGUCUCAAGAUAGUGUCAAGGCUGCUGCCUCUCACUGUGGCUGCCUCCGGGAGGUCUUCCUUACCUUUAAAAAUCACCUCUGCACCCCCACACUCACUGUCCCCCUUCCCCCAACCAGGACCUGACAUGUGCAGGCACCUUUCACUGCUUGACCUGUCAGCAUUUGCGGAUCUAGAGAAGGGGGUGCCCUGUCCAAGGGCAAGCGUCCCUCUUUUCAGUCUGUUUGGCUCACAGCUGUGUCCCUAGUGCAGGGCACGGUGCCAGACACUCAGCAGGGCCUCCAUAAAUAUUUGUAGCCUGAGCAAGUGAACAAAUGGAUGGAAUCACAUUUGAAAGACAAAGCUCUGGGACUUCAAAGAACUUGUUGAUUAAAGGGGUGGAGUUCAGGUAUCUGCAUCCUUACUUUGGCUGAAGGGAAAGAGUAAGAAUACCAAUUGUCACCCAGGAUGGCUGGGUGCCCAGUACUGAAGAGGGCGGCAGACUGGCUGCCGUAGCAACUCUCCCUCCCACGGUGGAAGGGGCGGUGAGGAGUGGAAAGGAGGAACAUCAGGACGUUGUCAUUUGCCCUCAAGGGCCGCACUAGGACUUUAGGGUCCUGGGAGCCUCUUGCUGGUCCUUUGGCUCUGCUGGAAUCCUCUUCCCAGGGCCAGCUCCUUCCAUGACCAGUCUCAGCUCGCAUGCCACCUGCUCGGGUAGGGCUCUCCUGAUCUCAGGCACUUCCCCACCUAUCUCCUUGAUCAUGCCACCAUGUUCAUUUGUAUCAGUGCCUUUGCCCCUUUCUGAAAUGCUCGGGGUCACCCACAUCUUUACUGGGCUAUUUAUUAUCUAUAAAUCUCCAACCAGGAUGUCAGCCUUAUGACAAGGGGACCGUGCUUGUCUGUGCCUAGCUCUCAAGGCCUGCCACAUGCAGUACCCAAUAAAUGUUUGUGAAAUCAGUGGUUUUGCAAUGUUAUGUAUCCUGGGGAUUUCUUACAAAGUAGUAUUUAAAUUUUCCAGUUUUUAGAGGCCUGCAAAUAGCAUUUCCCAUUACCCCAGAGGGAUUAGAUAGUCCUUGACCUGAAUCAGGAGUGUGGCUUGUUUCAUUUCCCAAAAUCCCAUAUGUCAACAAGAAUGUUCCGUUGCUAUUUAAUGUGUUCACUGAUGCACUCUGUUAAAUUGAGUGUAAUGAUCUUUUCCCCCUACUAUACAUCUUCCAAAUCCCUCCCAUUUCUUCAAGAAUGUGUGCACAAUUUCCCAGGAAGCAGCUGCCUGCCCACUCAGCCUAGGAAAUUUGGGUGGGUGGAUCCUACACUCAGCCCCAGCAUGUGACUCAGCCUGAGCCAAUCAGCACCCUGGCCCACAGUGAGUGGUCCAGGCAGGAUAGUCAUGUGACCUCUGAGAUAGCCCACUGCUGCUCAGCCCAGGAUCAGGGACCUCAUUAAGAACUUUUGGGCUCUUGCUGCUCUUCAAACCUGCCUAGAAGGCAUCUGUGACUUCUCUUUGCUUCGCUGGGCAAUCUCAAUUAAGAACCAAGAAAACAGUGGGUGUAGGAAACUCACCUAGAUGCAGAGUUUUAUACAAUGAUGGACCCACUUCCGACUUUGGAGACUGUGGGUCACUCUUGGAGGGAAGCAGCUCCCCUUGGCUUCCUACUCCGUCCUUUCCACUAAUGGUUGACAGGUGACAGGAAAACAGGGCAUGUGGAGUAGGACUGACCUGUGUGAGUAUCUUGUGUGUGCUGCUCAUGCGCCACCUAACCCUUGACAGAUGACACAGCCCUUGCAUGCUGCCGCCAGCUCCUCCCCAUGAGGGAGACAUGAUGUGGUUUGAAAGGCCCCAGCCUGGGAGCUGGAAAGACCUGGCCCCUGAUGUCACCUCUGCCACUGACUUGACAUUUAAGCUGGGCAGGCUGGGUACCCUCUGCUUCUCUGGGCCUAGCUAUGAAAGGAAGGUGAAAGUACCUACAGCAAUGGGGUUUCCUAAGGAUUGAAUGGGGCCACAUAUGUAGAGCACCCAGCACAGGUCCAGGCUCAGAGAGAAAGCAGAGAAUACUCAUCCUUCCCCGUCCCCAAGUCCACACCCUGGCUGCCUAGACAGCUCUGUCCAGGUUCUUUCCUUCCAAGAAGGUUUCGGGAUCCUUAGUGUGAUCUUGUGUGUGUUAGAACCAGUAUUUGCCAUGAGAGUACUCACCGUAUUUUCUUCUCUCCCUCCUUGUCCCCCUUUUGCAGCUGUGCUGUCCUCUACAUGGGAUUUCUUCUCAGGGAGGCUCAUCCCCUGAGCUGGACAGCUCCCAGCUGACUGCCUCCCUGCUCAGUGGCAGCAGCAGAAAGACAGGUGCCCACAACACCAGCCCCAAAGUCCGAGGUUGCUCACCAUUGACUGCCUUGAGUCACGUGCCCUUUGCUGGACCAAUCACAGUGGCCAGAAAUGGAAUAUGGGGUCAUCAAGGCCCAGACACAGAGGUGUGGGGGCUCCCAAUAUGCCACUCUCAGGAGACAUAGGCUGCUAGAAACAACAGAUGACCCCUGUACUAGGGAACAGUUAAAAGAAAAUACUGGGCUGGGGAUUUAGCUCAGUGGUUUUGCCACCUGCUGCUGCAUAAGCACAAGGACCCGAGUUCAAUCCCUGGUAUCAAAAAAAAAAAUACUAAUGCUCUUUGACAUUCUGAAAUCAAAGAUUUGAAAUCCAAACUCAUAAGUGACAGUUCAUUUUAAGUCAACUUGGCAAGGCCGUGGUGCCCAGAGAUGAGGUCAAAUAUUAUUUAGAAGUUUCUAUAAGGGUGUUUGGGGAUGAGAUUAACAUUUAAAUCAGUGGACUUUAAGGAAAGCAGAUUGCCCUCCAUAAUGUGGGGGGCCACAUCCAAUCAGGUGAAGGCCUGCAUAGAAGAAAACACUGACCUCCUGCAAGCAAAAAGAAUUCUUCAGCAGAUGUCUCAGACUUAAACAGCAGCACCAGCUCCUUCCAGGGUCUCCAGCCUGCUGCUCUACCCUGCGGGUGCUGGACUUGCCAGCCCCCAUAGCCACAGGAGCCAAUUGCUGAAGAUAAACUUCUUUCCGUAUAUGAACCAUAGGUGUUGAAAAACUUUACCCUCUGAAGGUUUGAUAAUUGGGUCUAUGAAGUAUACUGACAAUGGACAGACUAAUGGGAGAAAAGUUAUACAAAUUCCUUACCCACACAGGGGCAUCACAGGAAAGAGAAGUGACCAGUCCCAGCCCAGGGUGAUCCGGAAUCAUAUAUACCUGCUUCAGUGGGGAGGGGGAAGGGGAAGGCUAACUGGCCAUUGGGUGCCAGCCGGGGGUAAAGUAUCUGGGCACAGAGUGACCUUGGGUACACCUGCUGUGAUGGAAGUCCACCUUUCUCUGGCUGACCAGGGCCCUGGCAGGGGAUUCUUGAUUAUUGGUUGGUUCCCUUUGUAGGAUCCAACUUUAGGCAGAUAAGGGAAGCUUGGCCGAGCCCUCUCUGUGCUUGCUGUCCCCAGGUGUCCUCUCUCUGAAAUACUCCACACACUCAAGGGCAUGUUUUUGGUGGCAUCUUUUGAACUCCUCAGCACAUGUUCUGUUGAGUGUGUCUUCUGGGAGCCCUGACUCACACCACACACUGUACUUGAAUAAAGGUUACUUCCAAAGCCCCUCACCUCUGGACUGUAACCAACUUGGUGACAAACUUAGUCCAUCUCCAUAUGCUGGCAUUUGCCACGUGGAAAAGGCCAUUUGACAGAUGGAAGCUGCGGUCCCACCCCCAACUCCCAUUUUCCUCUCUCUCUUUAAUGUUGAUUUUAUGCUCAUUUUAGAGACCCAGUCAAAAAGAUGGAUACAAGGCCAAAUCAGUGACAAAUGAAAAAGGGAUUUAGACACCUUGAGCUUUUGUGUUGUGUGGUGUGUGUGUGUGUGUGAGAGAGAGAGAGAUUAGUACUAUCCUUCGAAGGAAGGAAGGAGGAAGCUGAAUUCCUGACAGGGCUGGGAGGAGAUGGUGCCUGAACAGACUCUUGCAGUGGACCUCCACCUAGCCCUGUCUCCUAGGAUGAGGGUCCUCCAGUUUUCCUCCAGGGAUUGAAUUCACCUGACCCCACUGAUGGCCCAGUAUGAGCUCUUCCUGCUGCCAUCUGCUGCCCAGGGCCCAGGAUACCCUGUUCCUGCCCCUCCAAUGCCUCCUGCUCCCCAGACCUUCUGGUCGUUCUGCAUUUCUGUGCUCCAGGGUCUAACGUGGAUUCUGUGCCCUGUGACCUCAAAACCCAACAUAACUGAAGAAUGAAAAAAUCUUUAAAAUCACAAGGAAGGCGGCGGCAGAGGUGAUGGCGGCAGCAGCACCACCUGAGAACAGAGCUGGGCCCGGGCAUGGUGGCGCGUUCUGCACUGUGAGAGCGCAGCGGCCGCUGGAUCGCCAUGCGCCAGCGGCUCCAAAGCUCGGGCCUUUGGCCCUUCGCCUCGGCGACGGGAGGCAGCGUCCCGGAGACGAGACUGCGGGCGCUGAGCAAGCCUUGGGCAUCGUGAGGCUGGAUCUCCCCCGCAGCCACGUGGAUUUCCCUGUGAUCCUCUAUGAGCUGUGAGCCUGGUGGGUGAAGACACAAGCACCCCCUCUGACCCAGCAAGAAACUUCCUGUCACAAGGUGUAGCUUCCAUUGAGCACCCCAGGCUGGGGCCACAGCCCUUCGUGAACUCUGUUGGCCCAGAACCUUCAGCUGUAAGCAGGGCAGCCCUCGGUAUAAAUCGGGUAUUGGUUUGUGUGUGGACAAGAGAGGUUUGGUGUCUGGCAAAGGCUAACGGGAGAGUUACCAGCAGAGCUUUCCCAGCCACAGGGCAUCUGCCAGUCAGGAAUGUGUGGUUCCUGGUUCCUUGCCUGGCUGGUCUGCUUUCUUCCAAGCUUGCCUAGGGCCCAGCCUCACUAAAAGCUACAGCACUUUCCAUGCAAAAUCUGCCUUCUUCCAGCCCCUGGACUUUGGGAGCUCUACACAAGUGGGAACUUCCUUUCCCUCACUUCCUUUACCCCCUAGUCAGAGCAUUUCAGCCAUUUCUACCUCUAUACUUCCUGAUUGGACAGAGGCUGAGGACAGCACCCACCUGAUGCUUCCCACCUACCUGCCAUUUGUUCCCACUUUCACAUGGACAGUUUGCUGGCUGUUAACUGGAAUGAGGACUGGUAUGGGUAGCUUCUCCUUUUCCCAGGGCUUGGCUAAUUGCUCCCCAGUGCAACUAGUUAUUGCCCUCUCCUCAGUUAAGAGGUACAGGCCAGAGUCAGAACAGGCUAUGGGCGUCUGUGCCUAUGGGAAGUUGCCCCAAGCCUAUUCUAACCGCCUCCCCCCUUGCCUUUGCACCAGCCAUUCCCCCUACUAUCCAGUUGGGAGGGUCCACUACCCUGUGAUGAAGACCAACAUACUAGGGCUGGUGCCUGUAGCGCUAUGAGGAGACCACCACUCUUCUGCCACAAUAUCUUCACCCCUUCUGGAUCAGUCAAGGGAAAGUACUAGGGCCCCUUGAAAAGCACAGAAAGGAGGGCAAAAACAUAAAAGGGAAUACUGUACUUAAAGUGUGAAGAUUUGUAAAUAGUCUAGUCCAUGCUGAUGUUAGGGCAGAGUCUGAUUUCUACACAGAAAUGACUUUCUUUUUCUUUUAAUUUCUUAUUGUGCAAGUUCUAUGCUUCUAGCAUGGGACAUGGCUUGGGGAUGAUGCUCCCCAGUAUAGGAAGAUUGUUGUGCUAUUUGUUCGAUUUCAAUAAAAUUAUUUGUAGAUCCUGUAAAAAAAUAAAAUCAGAAGGAAAAAAAUUGUUUAAAGUUGCCAUGGCUACCAAGUGAAAAGUGCAACAUUCUGUAGCAAAUUCUGCAAACUGUAAGAUUUCAUUAUUAAAUACUUUGUUUUCAAUAAAAAACUGAUGUUAAUGUUUAUAAAAUAAUUGAAGAAAUGUUCAAAGUGCUCAUUGUCACUCCUUGUGUUUGAGAAAGAAGUACAGCAGUGAAAUUGUUUUGGAAAAUAUAAAAGUUGUUGGUGAUUUGGUUUUAAGUUGUUAUCUCUUACAUCUUCACGUCACUCAGUAAGCUUUUCUGCUCUCUGUCAACCUUAAAAUGCAUAAACAUCACAAAUAUGAGAAAUAUAUAUCUUAUUUUGAAUAAAAAUUAGUAUUGCAAAAAUUAGUGUUGGGCAUUUUUUUAUAUUAU
rnacentral:lncRNA from 1 species